UACGAAGGGGGCUAGCGUUGCUCGGAAUCACUGGGCGUAAAGGGCGCGUAGGCGGCUUGUACAGUCAGACGUGAAAUUCCUGGGCUCAACCUGGGGGCUGCGUUUGAUACGUAUGGGCUUGAGUUCGGAAGAGGGUCGUGGAAUUCCCAGUGUAGAGGUGAAAUUCGUAGAUAUUGGGAAGAACACCGGUGGCGAAGGCGGCGACCUGGUCCGAUACUGACGCUGAGGCGCGAAAGCGUGGGGAGCAAACAGG
rnacentral:rRNA from 1 species